AGAAUCAACGCUGGCGGCGUGCCUAACACAUGCAAGUCGAACGAGAAAGUGGAGCAAUCCAUGAGUAAAGUGGCGCACGGGUGAGUAACACGUGACUAACCUACCUUUUAGUGGGGGAUAACCUAGGGAAACCUGGGCUAAUACCGCAUAACACUUACGAGUCAAAGCAGCAAUGCGCUGAAAGAGGGGGUCGCGGCCGAUUAGCUAGUUGGCGGGGUAAUGGCCCACCAAGGCUACGAUCGGUAGCUGGUCUGAGAGGACGACCAGCCACACUGGGACUGAGACACGGCCCAGACUCCUACGGGAGGCAGC
rnacentral:rRNA from 1 species